GAUGAACGCUGGCGGCGUGCUUAACACAUGCAAGUCGAACGAAGAUGCCGGAGUGCUUGCACUUUGGCAGACUGAGUGGCGGACGGGUGAGUAACGCGUGGGUAACCUGCCUUAUACAGGGGGAUAACAGUUGGAAACGACUGCUAAUACCGCAUAAGCGCACGGUAUCGCAUGAUACAGUGUGAAAAACUCCGGUGGUAUAAGAUGGACCCGCGUCUGAUUAGCUUGUUGGUGAGGUAACGGCCCACCAAGGCGACGAUCAGUAGCCGGCCUGAGAGGGUGAACGGCCACAUUGGGACUGAGACACGGCCCAAACUCCUACGGGAGGCAGCAGUGGGGAAUAUUGCACAAUGGGGGAAACCCUGAUGCAGCGACGCCGCGUGAGUGAUGAAGUAUUUCGGUAUGUAAAGCUCUAUCAGCAGGGAGAAGAAUGACGGUACCUGGACUAAGAAGCACCGGCUAAAUACGUG
rnacentral:rRNA from 1 species